rnacentral:misc_RNA from 1 species
GCACAACAGGUUGCUCUUAUUAUUUUAAUCAAAACAGCUGCCCAGAUCCUAAGUAGUACAAUGCUAAUUUAUUCUCUCUAAUACAUUAAAGCUCCCAGGGAAGAAGAGUCGUAGUACUUCAAUACCCAAACACAUACUAAAACCAAGAACAAAGUACAAGUUAUUUAUCUUCAUCAUGCAGCAUCACCCUCAUGGAGAAGCAUCUGAUCAAAAUGCCAGACUCCGUGGCCUUUCCCCACCCUCCUUAAUUGAGAGACAUAUUCUGCUAUCUUCUUAAUGUCUUCAACCUAAUAGAAAACUCGAAUUAGUCAUACAUGAUGCAAUAUGUAAAUUUCAAAUGUUCACAUAAAAUGUCAUCAAUGACGUUACGAUGCCUUGUAAUCGUUGAAAAUGACAAAAGUUCUUAAAAAUCUUUUAAAUAAAACCCAUGUUUAUAAUCUUAUGAGUUCCGGGAAAAUGAAAAUCUUUGAGCUCACCUGCUCUGGCAAAAACUCGCUCUCAAUGAAUUCCAUCAUCUGUGCAUCAUUAUUUCGAUCUGCCACCUAUUUUCAUCAAGAAUAUAGCAUGGUUCAUAAGAACAAUUUGAAAAACCACAUAAAUGGAUGCAAUUUUAUUGUGAGAAAAUGCCUGCUGUUUCAUCAUAGAAGAAAUGAACUGAUGAAAUUUUGAAGGCAAAGAUGCAUUACGCUGUGCAAGUUCAACAGUUUUUCAUUUGUCAACUUCUCCAAAGACAGUGCUAACUCCAUAGCUGAAUCACAGAAUCAAAGACAACGUAAGUUAAUUUGAAAAACCAGAGAUACUGACCAUUACGGAUGGGAAGUCUGCCACAUUUCAGACCAAGGAUAGCAAAUUUGUUGGAACGUAUGAUGAAAAAGACAAAAAUAUGGUGUAAGAAAUUGGAUAAUGCAUUUUAUUUGACUUGAAGAUGCACUUCAGACCACAGACCAUGUCACAUUUAUAUGCAUCCAUCCAAAUAGCAUAUAAUCCAUAUAAAAAUAUUAAAGCAUGAACUAAAUUCUUUUUGCAAAUUACAAUGCGGUAACAGCCGAAAAAAAUUCUGAAAAAAUACACAAUGGAAGAUUACUUCUACAACAACGAGCUUAAUUAACAGUUUGAUGGGAUUUGAGGUGAGCAGAACACUUUCUUUGAGGUGUCAAUUGCCCCCAUUUGGUUAAAGUUUGUUUUUGGGUUUAUGGGCAACAAACCUUCAUGAUAGAACAAAAGCUCAGAAGAAGCCUGUAAGCAGCAAUGAUAAUGGCUUCUUCGAGGGCAUUUGGCCCCAUGGCUAUGCUUCAGAGCACAGGAGCAGAAGGCCAAAACCCCUGCUGUUACAUGGAGAACAUGAAGAGUGUUGUAGGUAAGGACCCACACAAAAAAAUGAAACUUGUAGGAAAGGACCCACAAAAAAGUUUCAAUAUCUCUAACAUGCCUCACAGAAACCCUGUUAACAAUUGGACUUGAGAGUGUGUAAGGAUUCCCUUGCCUUGACCUAAACUAAGGAUUUGAACUCUAAACCUCCUUUUGAUCUAAGAGAUUCUAAAACUAGCUGAAAAAUACUCAACCACGUAAUAUUUGUAAUAGUGCAUCCACCUUCAUAUUUAAAAUACCAUGGAGUUGAACAGACUUUACCAUACAAUGCAUCUCCCUUCUCUGAAUGAUCAAACUCUGACAGAGGCAUUAGUAUAGAGUGCAGUUUUACUCGCCCUCCGCGGAUGUUCUGAUACUUCAUUAGCUUUUCAGCGUGCUCUCUUUCUUCUUCACUGGAUUCCUUGAAAAAUUUGGCUAGUCCCCUCAAGGCAACGUUGUCCCUGUCAAAAUAUGCAAACAAGGCGUGGUAUACGUAGGAAGCAUUGUAUUCCACAUUGAUCUGCUCGUUUAUUGCAGCUUCACACUCAUCCUCAUAAAACUGGCGAGCAAGAGAAACAUUAGGAGCAAUAGGAACCAAAAAAGCUUCCUUCUUGACCUCUUCAAAUGGCUGGAAUACUACACCAGUCAACUGCAAACCGCUCUGCUCCACAGCAGAAACCACAAGACUGUUUCUUCGCGUUCUUGGCAAUAAAGUCGGGACUGGGAGAGAAGAAGAAGAAAGGCCAUUGCUGGGGCUAAAAGCAGCAUCUCCCUGUCUGGUUGACAGAGAAAAAGCUGGAACAGCUCUCAGAAACAUCGUUGCUUGCAUUUCUAAACGAGAAUAGAAAGCCCAAAUGUAAAGAAUUAAAGGCAAAAAUGGAGACGGAAAUGAAGGAUGGUGGCUG